AUUGAACGCUGGCGGCAGGCCUAACACAUGCAAGUCGAGCGAGUUAAGGGCGCUUGCUCCUGAAUUCAGCGGCGCACGGGUGAGUAAUGCGUAGGAAUCUGCCUGUUAGUGGGGGAUAACGUCCGGAAACGGGCGCUAAUACCGCAUACGUCCUGCGGGGGAAAGUGUUGUCGCUUCGGACCUCACCCUAUCAGAUUAGCAUAGUUCGGAUGAGCUAGUUUGUGGAGUAAAGGCAUACCAAGGCGACGAUCCGUAACGGGUAUGAGCGGAUGAUCAGUCACACUGGAACUGAGACAGGGCACAGACUCUGACGCGAGGACGCAGUCGGGACUAUUGGACGAUGGGGCAAUGGCGGAUCCAGCACAGCCGGGGGUGUGAAGAAGGUCCUCGGACUGUAGAGCACUUUAAGCUGGGAGGUAGGGAAGUAAUUUCAUACCUGGCUGUGUUGACGUUACCAACAGAAGAAGCACCGGCUAACUUCGUG
rnacentral:rRNA from 1 species